AUAUACAUGUAUGUAUAUACAGCUGGAGCUGGUUCUCUAGUCAGCUGUCAUUUAUUUUAGGGGGGGAAACAGCUAACAGCGCUUCCAUACCACACACUAACAUAAAAGUUGUUGGAAAGCUAACACACCUUACUGCCAUUGUCGUCGCCGUGGCUGUCAUCGCCGUUGUCAUUGCAGUUGUCAUCGCCGUUGUCAUCGCCGUUGAUGCAAUCCCGGGCACUAUUAACUCCGUCGUAGUAAUUUUUAUAUAUAUUUUUAUAUUGUUUCUUUCUUCUUCUUAAAUCUUCAUUACUCUCCAUAACGACGUCCACAUCGUCGUCAUCAUCAUCGUCGUCGUCGUCGUCAUCGUCGUCGUCAUCGUCGUCGUCGUCGUCGUCGUCCUCAUCGUCCUCAUCGUCGACAUCAUCAUCGCCGUCGUCAUCGUCGACAUCAUCGUCGUCGUCGUCGUCGUCAUCGUCUUCUUCAUCCUCCUCGUCUUCAUCAUCAUCUUCAUCAUCAUCAUCAUCAUCAUCAUCAUCGCCGUCAUCGUCUUCGUCGUCAUCGUUUUCAUCAACGCAGUGGUCAUCUGCUCGCCGUUGCCCCUUUCAUCGUCGUUGUCAUUGCCGUUAUCAUCAUCAUUUACGCCGUCAUCGUUGUCAACAUCGCCGUCAUCAUCACCAACACUAUCGUUGCUGUCAUCAUUGUCGCUGUCAUCUUCAGUCUCUUCCGCAAUAACAACAACAACAACAACAACGACAACGACGAUAAUAACAAUGACAAUAACUACAACGACGACGGUGGCGGCGGCGACGACAAUAACGACGAGAAGCAAACGACGAUGAAAACAGCAAGAACAACAUUUGCGAUGACAAUAACAUCACCGACGACAAGUGGUGACAAGGAAAACGUUUGAAAUGCGGGAAGACGUAAAACAAGAAGAAGAAGAACAAGAACAACAACAACAACAACAGAUGAAUUAUAAGAAGAAUUAACGGCAUCAACAUUAUUAACGUUAUGAAAAUUAUCAGCAAUUAAUAAGAGAGAAAAGGAAGGAAGGAAGGAAGGAAGGAAGGAGGAAGGAAAGAAGUGAAACGAGAAAGGAGUGACAGAGGAAGAGAAAACGAGAAAAAGAAAAAAAAAAAAAAAAGGAAAAGAAAAAAAGAACUUGGAAAAUGUGACAAGCAUGAUGGAGAGAGGGAUAGGGAGAGAAGAAGAGAGAUGGAUAAAGAGAGAGAGAAAGAAAGAGAGAGAGAGAGAGAGUGGAGGCAGAUGAGGUAAGAUGAAAGAGAUCAGAUGAAAGAAGAAGAAGAAAAAAAAAAGGAAUACGGGAGAGAUUGAAAGUGUAAAAAAGUGUGGUGUUUAAGGGAUAGAGAGAAGGAGAGAAAGAGAGAAAGAUUUUUUUAAAAAAAGAAGAAGAAAUAGCUUAAGCAAAAAUUUUAAAAAAAUAAAAAAACCAAUUUACUAAUACUAACAACACAAACAGCACUUAUAUCAACAAUAGCAUAUCAACAACAACUACAACAACAACAACAACAACAAUAGCAGAAGGACAAGAAAAGCACAUGAUUAAAACUACAGGUUUUUAUUUGGGUGUCGUAACUGAAUAUAUCAAUACUAGCGCCAUUUUAACGAGCAUCUAUCCUCGCUCCUCUAUAUCAAGAAACCAUCUUAAAUUUCUAGUAGACACUGUAAAAUAUAAAACAUAAAAAAAUGUGGAAAGCCGCUCUGUUGACUUCCAGCCCAAGGUGAAGCAGUAUGGAACAAUGCUGAAAUGUACCACAGCCUUCUUAUCGACACGAUAUUUCAAAAGAAAAUAUUUCCGCUCAGCAUAAACUUUUUGAAUCCAAAAACUCUUGGAGAGGGAAGUGAACACGUCUAAUCAUACCCAACACAAAAUCAACAGCAGCAAACGACAACUUUUACAACAGUGAUAACAACUAAACUACAUUUGAACAAAUGAGGAUAGAAUAAAAUGCGAAUUUCUUUGAAAACAUAGCAACGUAGAAAUCCACAAAACAGAGUAGACAUUGGAAAAGAGCUGAGAGUUGAGCAUUCAAUAGUAAGCACACAUUAGAUGUGAUAGCAUAGAAUUGAAUUCCAGUUUCCUUAACUAAAUUCAAGAAGGCUAAAACGUUCGAGUGAAUUGCUUGAAACACGUUGAAUUUAUGCUACGAGGUUCAAAAAAUUCCUCUGGCUACCAUAGUAUGCCUUCAGGAAAUGUAGUAUCUGGACAUUUUUUCUCGCGUUUGGCAAUGAUGUGGAUAGACUCAACACCACAGUUUCGAAGAAAAUACUCCGGUUGCCUUGCAGCAUUUUUCUAAACUGAAUCUGAUAUCAAGCUCUCUCUUGUAAGUCCACAUAC